AGUGAACGCUGGCGGUAGGCCUAACACAUGCAAGUCGAACGGCAGCACAGUAAGAUCUUGCUCUUACGGGUGGCGAGUGGCGGACGGGUGAGGAAUACAUCGGAAUCUACUUUUUCGUGGGGGAUAACGUAGGGAAACUUACGCUAAUACCGCAUACGACCUACGGGUGAAAGCAGUGGAUCUUCGGACCUUGCGCGAUUGAAUGAGCCGAUGUCGGAUUAGCUAGUUGGCGGGGUAAAGGCCCACCAAGGCGACGAUCCGUAGCUGGUCUGAGAGGAUGAUCAGCCACACUGGAACUGAGACACGGUCCAGACUCCUACGGGAGGCAGCAGUGGGGAAUAUUGGACAAUGGGCGCAAGCCUGAUCCAGCCAUACCGCGUGGGUGAAGAAGGCCUUCGGGUUGUAAAGCCCUUUUGUUGGAAAAGAAAAGCAGCAGGUUAAUACCCCGCUGUUCUGACGGUACCCAAAGAAUAAGCACCGGCUAACUUCGUG
rnacentral:rRNA from 1 species